GUACGAGAGGACCGGGAUGGACAUACCUCUGGUGUACCAGUUGUCGUGCCAACGGCAUAGCUGGGUAGCUAUGUGUGGACGGGAUAAGUGCUGAAAGCAUCUAAGCAUGAAGCCCCCCUCAAGAUGAGAUUUCCCAACUUCGGUUAUAAGAUCCCUCAAAGAUGAUGAGGUUAAUAGGUUCGAGGUGGAAGCAUGGYGACAUGUGGAGCUGACGAAUACUAAUCGAUCGAAGACUUAAUCAAAA
rnacentral:rRNA from 1 species